UCCAGACUCCUACGGGAGGCAGCAGCGGGGGAUAUUGCACAAUGGGGGGAACCCUGAUGCAGCGACGCCGCGUGGGUGAAGGAGCGUUUCGGCGCGUAAAGCCCUAUCGGCAGGGAAGAAGGAGGACGGUACCUGACUAAGAAGCCCCGGCUGACUACGUGCCAGCAGCCGCGGUAAUACGUAGGGGGCAAGCGUUAUCCGGAUUUACUGGGUGUAAAGGGGGCGCAGACGGCAGCGCAAGCCAGGAGUGAAAGCCCGGGGCCCAACCCCGGGACUGCUCUUGGAACUGCGCGGCUGGAGUGCAGGAGGGGCAGGCGGAAUUCCUGGUGUAGCGGUGAAAUGCGUAGAUAUCAGGAGGAACACCGGUGGCGAAGGCGGCCUGCUGGACUGCGACUGACGUUGAGGCCCGAAAGCGUGGGGAGCAAACAGGAUUAGAUACCCGCGUAU
rnacentral:rRNA from 1 species